rnacentral:lncRNA from 1 species
UGUAGUAAUGAGUCCUUCUUACUGAAUUUGUUACAUAUUUAAUGCCACCCUGCAGGUUUAAGGACAUGCCAGAAAUCCAGAUUCGAGGCUGCAGAAAUCUUGUGAGUUGUCUCCAAUUGCUUAGCAUUAUUGGCGCAUUCAAAUAUUUUAGUAUUUAACAUGUAUGAAUGAUGUUUAUGAUGACAUGGCUGCAUUUCCACCGAAUAAGAGCGAAGGUCCGUUAUGCAUGGGCUUGGAAGAACCAUGAUGGAAAUGUAUAGAAUGAUUUCAUAGCUCGAGUUCUGCACUUGUGAAUUUGUGUAUGUAUUGCCGGAGUCAAAAGUAAUUUUGGUAAGUUAUGGAUCUAUAACUUUUGAAAACUAGAGUAGGAAUGAUAUGUUCUAGUCACCAUGUGUAAUUCCUUUCCCUGUAUUUUCAGGUUGUCAGUCUCUUGGUUUAAUUUCACCAAUACUGUUAUAUAUGCCUAUAGUAAAUUUGUUGGCUUGUCAGGAUAAAAAUCCCUAUCUCUAGAUUUCUAUAUAAUCAACUCUAGCUUUAUUUUUACCCAUCCACUAUGAUACAUGGUAAGAGCACAAGACUUGGUAGUUCUACAAUAUGCAUUUUGAAUGUGGUUCCUUCCCAUAUCGAGGGUUUCAAGUGCAUUCUGAACAAGAGAAGAUUUUGCGUUCAUUUUGGUUGAAUGUAACCACAAUCCUGAACUCUGACUACCUGUGCUUAUUGAUAAACCUUCUGUAACAAUUUAUUUGGUGUGAAUUGUUCUAUAUAAUUCUUCGGUUAUUUUUUGCUUUAUCUGUUGAUUAUCAAGUCUUUAUAUUUUGAAAUUGUUUUUUUCCCCUUUCAAACAUCAUUGCCAUGUGGUCUAUAGUGUUCAGCUCUAAGGUAUCACUGAUUGAAAUGGCAGUUCCAAUCCUUGCAACUGUGAUAGGGUGUCUGGUUGCUAGUCUCAUGGCUUUUCUUAACGGGGAAUAGCUUCUGUAUCUGGGGCUUUUGGCAAUAGCAUCCCGUGAAAGUCUUUCUUUUGUCAAUAACCAACUUAUUAUCUAGUUUAAAUAUGCGACCUGCACUGCCUGUGGUACACAAAAUAUUUCUCUUUAUUUUUCUAGUUGAGCUCCAGUACAUCAUUGGUCCG